GAUGAACGCUGGCGGCGUGCUUAACACAUGCAAGUCGAGCGAAGCGCUCACGCGGAAUUUUUCGGAAGGAAGCGGGAGCGACUUAGCGGCGGACGGGUGAGUAACGCGUGGGUAACCUGCCCCAUACCGGGGGAUAACGGUUAGAAAUGACCGCUAAUACCGCAUAAGCGCGCGAGGCCGCAUGGCCCCGGGCGAAAAACUCCGGUGGUAUGGGAUGGGCCCGCGUCUGAUUAGCUAGUUGGCGGGGUAAAGGCCCACCAAGGCGACGAUCAGUAGCCGACCUGAGAGGGUGGCCGGCCACAUUGGGACUGAGACACGGCCCAA
rnacentral:rRNA from 1 species